CCUAAGGAACUCGGCAAAUUGGCCCCGUAACUUCGGGAUAAGGGGCGCCUCCUAAAGUGUUAAAGCUCCGGGAGGCCGCAGUGAAAAGGGAGUAGCGACUGUUUACUAAAAACACAGGACUCUGCUAACUCGCAAGAGGAUGUAUAGAGUCUGACGCGUGCCCGGUGCCGGUAGGUUAAGGAAGAGGGUUAGCCGUAAGGUGAAGCCAGCGACCGAAGCCCCGGUAAACGGCGGCCGUAACUAUGACGGUCCUAAGGUAGCGAAGUUCCUUGUCGGGUAAGUUCCGACCUGCAUGAAUCGCGUAACGACUGCUCCACUGUCUCCACAAGUCACUCGGUGAAACUGUAGUUGUUGUGAAGAUGCAACAUACCCGCAGUUGGACGGAAAGACCCCGUGAACCUUAACUGUAGGAUAGUAUUGGGUUUAGGCCCAACUUGCGUAGUGUAGCUGGGAGGCUUUGAACGACCGGUCUCGGCCGGUCGGGAGCCGCAAUAUGAAACACCAGCCUGGUUGUGCUUGAAUUCUAACUCUGGUCCCGUGAAUCCGGGCAGUGGACAGUGCUAUCUGGGCAGUUUGACUGGGGCGGUCUCCUCCCAAAGAGUAACGGAGGAGCCCAAAGGUACCCUCAGCCCGGUUGGCAAUCGGGCAUAGAGCGCAAAAGUAGAAGGGUGCUUGACUGCGAGACCGAUAGGUCGAGCAGGGACGAAAGUCGGGUUUAGUGAUCCGGCGGUGCUGGAUGGAAAGGCCGUCGCUCAACAGAUAAAAGGUACUCCGGGGAUGACAGGCUUAUGACUCCUGAGCGUUCAUAGCGGCGGAGUCGUUUGGCACCUCGAUGUCGGCUCAUCGCAUCCUGGGGCUGGAGAAGGUCCCAAGGGUUUGGCUGUUCGCCAAUGAAAGCGGUACGUGAGCUGGGUUUAGACCGUCGUGAGACAGGUCGGUCCCUAUCUGCUGCGGGCGGAGGAAGCUUGAGGGGUUUUCUCGCUAGUACGAGAGGAUUGCGAGGGACGUACCGCUGGUGUACCAGUUGUCGCGCUAGCGGCAUAGCUGGGUAGCUACGUACGGUCAGGAUAACGCUGAAGGCAUCUAAGCGUGAAACCUUCCCCAAGAUGAGGCUUCCUGUCGCAAGACAAAGGCUCCUGGAAGACUACCAGGUUGAUAGGCCGGGUGUGUAAGGUCAGUAAUGGCCUCAGCUAACCGGUACUAAUAGCCAAGCGCUUGACCGC
rnacentral:rRNA from 1 species